CCUUUCCUUUUCACAUUCUCUCUUCGUGAAGAUGGCUCAUUUCUAAAAUCCCCAAUUAGGGUUCAAUCUGCUUGUUAUACCGUAGAAGGAUGUGGAGUUGCUGCACUCCAUCUCACAUCGCGGACUGAAAUGAAUCCUAGAAGACGCUUUUUCAGGUGUCAUAAGCCUGAUAAAAGUGGAUGUGGUUAUUGGGAAUGUGAAGACGAUGAAUUUCCACCAAGAGCUAUUAUUGUCAUCAACAAAUUGAAAAGGGAAAAGGAUGCUCUUCUUAAAGAAAGACUUGAAAACAGGGGGAAAAAAUUAUUUCUUAUGUUAUUGGGUUUCAUUAUUGGAUUUGUGGUUAGUUUCAUGUUUUGA